UUCAGUUUCAGUAUCAAUAAUGCAAAUGAAGAUAAAGAAGAAACCAAGGAUAACAUUGCAACAAGAAAAGUGGAAGCCCCGAGUAGGAAGCCAGCAACGCCGACAUAUUUAUUCUGCAGUGAAUAGUUAAAAUUACACUUCUCGACAAGACUUCCUGGCAAUCAAAUCGCUCUAUUCUAAUGGUUUAUAUCCUGUUUUUCAACACUGUAGGAAUGAGAAAGGCCGAUUACAGCGAAGGGAUCAAUGUCGCAGAAGACUGAAAGCUUCGCUUAGCUAUACAAGUCGAGAACUCAAGAGUUGCUAUAAAGUUGAGGAAUCUCUUUACUUGGUGGGCAUUCAUAGCCAAGCCAAAUACAAGUUGAAUCAAAUGCAGCGUGUGAUAGCAGUAGCACAUUUACGUAAUGUUACAAUGCAAAGCACUUCUUUCAGCCAGCUACGGAUAGGCGAAAGAUCGCAGUGUAUGCAUUUAAUCUACAGUCAGUUUUUCAAAACAGUACCUACCACCGAGGAUUCGCCAAUUGAUCAGUUUCUAUGUUAUUUUUUGCAGAAAUUCAUAUUUGAAUAUCUUCUUUUUACAUUUUUUUUGGAACUCUGUGAUGUAUUUGGUCUCUGGAAUUCAAUUGAAAUACCUUCCUUCACUCAUGAUUUAUUGCUUUCGAUUC